UAAAUCGGUAAAACGGAAGUAAAAACGAAGAGCCGUCCAAAAAGGUCUGACACUUUUUACGUGAAACGCUUUUGGCCUACUAUUGCUGUUUAUCUUACUUUAUUUGAAAUGAAUGAUAUGCACCAUUCAAAAGAUUACUUUGAAAAUGACUGUAAAGUUGUUGCAAGGAACAGGACAGAUCUAUUACAAGCCUUUAAAUUGUCGUUUUUUGCCAUGAGCCGUUUUCCUACUUUCCCUUGGAACCUCCUUCAAACCGAACUUAAGAAGGACAAAUCAUCCGAGUUGAUUUCAGAUAUUUUAAAGCAGACAUGCCUUCAUUCGCUGUGUAUCAAACACCCACCAUCAGUCAAAUACAGAAGACUAUUCCUUACCGAACUGAUCAAAAGGCAUGAAGCUACUGAGUCAGAACGUUUGGAUGAGCUCUACGACGCCUUGGGUGAAGUCCUUGGUGCUGAGGAGAGAUCUGAGUGCUUCAAAAGCUAUUUACUGCCAUGUGGUGAAGCUCUAAGCCUGUUAGAGAGUGUGGCGGUGAUCUCAGAAGGCACCACUGGGCUGGUCACGUGGGAGGCUGCCCUCUACCUGGCAGAGUGGGCACUGGACAACCCCCACAUCUUUAUGGGCAGGACUAUCCUUGAACUUGGCAGUGGAGUGGGGUUGACAGGAAUUGCAGUGUGUCGCUCCUGUAGGCCCUUCAGAUAUGUGUUCAGUGACUGUCACAGCAGUGUACUGCACAAACUGCAGGAAAAUGUUCAGCUAAAUGGACUGUCUAAGCAAAAUCCUCCCAGAGUUUCCGUGGAAGAAUUGGACUGGGCGGCAGUGACAACGGAGCAGCUGAGGGAGAUAGGUGCCAACACUGUCAUUGCUACAGAUGUGGUUUACGACCCUGAUAUCAUUUCUUGCCUGGUGAAGCUCCUUACCAAGGUCUUGAGGUGCAUGUCCCCUGGUAGCCCUCCAGAGGUCAUCAUCUCCUCAACCAUCAGAAACCCAGACACAUACAAGUGCUUCAUGGAUAAACUUGGACGAAAGAGAACCACGACGUGGAGGAAGAACAUGCACUUUCACAGCCGAACAGGAGACUGACAUUGUGAAAAUGGUUCGUGAAAACAGCACUAUCACACUCCGACAGAUACAAACCAGGAUCCUGGGUGACCAUGCCACAUUCAGAAAGAUCCAGACCAUCAGCCUCUCUACACUGUACCGUGUUCUCUGCAGGAAUGCCAUGCGGAUGAAACACGUGUACAGGGUCCUAUUCGACCGGAACACAGACUACAUCAAGGAUUUACGGCAAGAGUUUCAGAUCCAGGAGCAUGACACAGCUAAUGAUCUAUAUGAAUACACAUUCAUUGAUGAGGUUGGAUUCAACCCGGUGAAGAGGAGGCGCCGGGGCAGAAAUGUCAGUGGCCAGCGCACUAUUGUUGAGGUCCCCGCCAAGCGUGGUGGUAACAUCACUUUGUGUGCUGCAAUGGGUUGAGCAGUUGACAGUACUGUACUAUUUAAAAAAUA